rnacentral:lncRNA from 1 species
CCCUCUGAGAGUCCUGCUGUGUUCUUCCUGCCCUGCUAGAGACUGGGCCCUGGGUCACAGGCUCAGCGGGUCAUUGGCGACCUUGAGCAGCACGGCUGAAGGACUCAGGUUUCCUUCUGGGCUCUUAUCCCUGGACCUGCUCAGCCAUUUUAUUUAAUUAAUUAAUUUUUGAGACAGCGUCUCACUUUAUCACCCAGGCUGGAGUGCGGUGGUGCGAUCACAGCUUACUGCAGCCUCGACCUCCUGGACUCAGGGGAUCCACCUGGCUCAGCCUCCUGAGUAGCUGAGACCACAGGCAUGUGACACCACACCUCGCUAAUGUUUAAAAUUUUUGCCGAGACGGGGUCUCACUUUGUUGCCCAUGCUGGUCUUGAGCUCCUGGACUCAAGCGAUCCUCUCUCCUCAGCCUCCUGAAGUGCUGGAAUGACAGGCGUGAAGCACCGCGCUGGGCUGCUCAGCCAUUUCAGAGCCGGCUGGACCUGCCCAGGGUGGCUUGGAGGGAUGGUCCAGCAGCCGUUACGGCGGGCACCGUGUAGCCCUGGGACGCAGGGACGUGCAGCCCCGGCCUAGAGGGGCACGUUCUAUCCCAGCCUUGUGAGUUGGGAAUGAGCGUCACUCUCCCCACCAGUGGCCGCUCUCUGCUGCCUGGGCCUUGGCUGCAGCCUGGUGGUAGGUGAGGGGCCUCGGUUGUCUAUGUGGAGCGGGCAGGGCUAGAUCCCACCUUCCUCCCAUCUGACCUCAGAACCCAGGCCCCUGCCCACUGCCCCAC